UUGCUGGUGGUCCAGUGGUUAGGACUUUGCACUUCUAAUGCUGAGGGCCCGGGUUCAAUCCCUGGUCAGGGAA